rnacentral:rRNA from 1 species
ACUCAAAGGAAUAGACGGGGACCCGCACAAGCGGUGGAGCAUGUGGUUUAAUUCGACGCAACGCGAAGAACCUUACCAAGGUUUGACAUCCCCUUGAUGGGUAUAGAGAUAUACCGUUCUUCGGACAAGGGAGACAGGUGGUGCAUGGUUGUCGUCAGCUCGUGUCGUGAGAUGUUGGGUUAAGUCCCGCAACGAGCGCAACCCCUAUUUUUAGUAGCCAUCGGGUAGAGCCGGGCACAUUAGAGAGACUGCCGUGGAUAACACGGAGGAAGGUGGGGACGACGUCAAAUCAUCAUGCCCCUUAUAUCUUGGGCGACACACGUGCUACAAUGGUCGAUACAACGUGAAGCAAAACAGUGAUGUGGAGCAAACCACAAAAAUCGAUCUCAGUUCGGAUUGCAGGCUGCAACCCGCCUGCAUGAAGUUGGAAUCGCUAGUAAUCGCAAAUCAGCAUGUUGCGGUGAAUACGUUCCCGGGUCUUGUACACACCGCCCGU